rnacentral:rRNA from 1 species
UACGUAGGGUGCGAGCGUUGUCCGGAAUUAUUGGGCGUAAAGAGCUCGUAGGCGGUCUGUCGCGUCUGCUGUGAAAACUCGGGGCUUAACCCCGGGCCUGCAGUGGGUACGGGCAGACUAGAGUGCGGUAGGGGAGACUGGAAUUCCUGGUGUAGCGGUGAAAUGCGCAGAUAUCAGGAGGAAUACCGAUGGCGAAGGCAGGUCUCUGGGCUGACACUGACGCUGAGGAGCGAAAGCGUGGGGAGCAAACAGG